rnacentral:lncRNA from 10 species
AGUUUCAGAGUUACCUGCUUCUCCCAGAGAGACGAGGACAGAUUGCCUCCAGCAGGGGCACAGCAGACAAAAGGCACAGACUGACCUGGGCAGCCCUUGCUAGGCAACCAAGCUAUGAAAUCACAGCUCACUGGCACCAGCCCAAGCCUCUCUCUUCCCCUGGGCUCAUGACCAGAGGGUUGGUUUCCAGUGGGCAACUGAUUACCUGCUGUGCCAAUUCUCUUUGCAUUGUGAUCUGAAGAUGGGCCUGGGGUCUACUAUGAUAUGAAAAUGUCCUACAGUACCUGGCAUUGGAGGUGUAUGGGUAGUGGGAGAAAAACAAGGUUUGAAAUCUACAGAGUCUGAAAGUAGGUCAUGGGGCAUUCCUCCCAUCAUUAGAGGGUGUACAUUUGUUGGUGAAGGAUUGAUUCAUCUCCCAUCAACACCUUGUCAGCCUGAAGUUCCUUUGUCAGAAAUAUACUUGAUAAUGCGGGGUCCAAAUUGUAUAUGUGUCAUAUCCUAUAAAGCAUGGAUCCAUCCCAUCCUCUAUUGUGGCCACAAAUGCCUUCCACAGUAACCUGCAGCCGACCUACUACUGACAAAUCCCAGCAAAUGUGUGGUAGUCACUUCUCUUCCUCGGGUCUGCAGGGACUCAGGGUGCAGCACUGUUCUCAGAUUUGGGCUGGAGCUCAGUAUGACUGUUGGGGUCUCCUGCUACCCCUGGAGCCUCCAUGUGCUCCACUCGGGUUGGGAUCCAGCAGUGCAGAGGUGAACUCUGGGCGCUUGGAAGGC